rnacentral:lncRNA from 1 species
UUUUUCUGAUUACUUAUGUCUUCCUGUGGCAUUCCUUAGACUUUUGUUCAAGCUAAUUGGACUGGACCGCCAGUUGACUCCAACAAAAUCAAGUAUGUAUUUUAUGAAAAUUAAUAACAUUAACAUGUUUUUAAAAUCCUAUUUUGGUAGUAAAUGAAAGCAUUUCACACUCCAGUAGGGAAUUUUUUACGAGUGCACUGCAGCUACCUACACCCAUCAGAGUUGCUGCAAGAUUCUGUAAUUAAGUUUAUUUGCACAGCUCAUAAUGAUAAAAUAUCAAGUAGGUAGGAAUAAGGCCUCUGAUUUCAAAUGAAAAUAACUUGCAGCAAACAGAGCAAAAUGAGCUCCUGAAGUAUAAUCUAUUUUGUGAAUAUUGAAGUCUUUAUUACUUACUCUUCUAAACUGAAUUUGUUAGUCUUUAUCUUUACUCUUACUAAGUAAUUCAAUAUUUUGUUCGCCAGUUUUAUCUCAAUGUUCAUCCUCAAACCUAUAAUUUUCUCAAAAGAAAAAAGGAAAAUUAUUAAGUCCUUAAUUUAUUUUAAUUAUUUUUCAGUGGGGUCUCAGAAUGGGUCAGAGCGCUGUUUGCUAAAUGGAACAAUGAUUCACCCGAUAAACUACGGAUAUUUUUAACAAUAGAUGGAGAGUCUAUUUGCCAAAAUGCUAAGCACCUAGAACUACUUGUAGCUGCCCAGUUUUUAUUCAAAUUGAACAAGUUCUAUUCUCCUUUCCAAGAAUGGUGGUAUUUGAGGUCCGUUAUGCUUCAACAAAGAAUUUUAGAAGAAAGGUCGGAAAAGCUGCACAAUAUACUUCUCGCAGCCACGAAGUCUUUAGAGCCUCAAAUCAAGAUCUCUCUCCAAGAGCUCAUAGGAUGUUUAUCUUAGAGCUCUGUCAAUACUACUUGAACCUUUAUGCUGAAAUUGGAGUGGCCAAAACUUACCUGCAAACUGUUGAAAAUGAUUUCAACAUGAAAGUUCAACUUAGAGGUGCUUUAGGAAAACGAACCAAGUUCCAAGAAAAUGAUGUAGCCCAGCUAUUUCUCAAAUCACCCAAAAGAUGAAGAAACUUCUUCUAAUCUUUUUGAAAAUGAAGACGUCACUUCGAGACAUUUACCAAAGGUGAGUUUCUAAUCAUUUUUUGGUCUCCUUCCCUCACUAGAAAAGUUCAACUCUGCAUGCUACACAAGAAUGCAAAAAGUUUUGAAAAGCCUGCUGUUCCUUGCGAUCAAAUGUUUGUGCCGUGCGGCCGAAUUUUCGUUUUACCUCUGCUUCUUUUGUUUGUCACAGAGAAAAAU